rnacentral:rRNA from 1 species
GCCCGCUCUAAGUGAUGUGUGCACCCGAUUACGGGUAAACAUUCAUGGAGAGUUUGAUCCUGGCUCAGGACGAACGCUGGCGGCGUGCUUAACACAUGCAAGUCGAACGAUGAAGCCCUUCGGGGUGAUGGGGACUCACAGGAGACCGCCGGGGUCAACUCGGAGGAAGGUGGGGACGACGUCAAGUCAUCAUGCCCCUUAUGUCUUGGGCUGCACACGUGCUACAAUGGCCGGUACAAUG